GACGAACGCUGGCGGCGUGCUUAACACAUGCAAGUCGAACGGUAAGGCCCUUCGGGGUACACGAGUGGCGAACGGGUGAGUAGCACGUGGGUGAUCUGCCCUGCACUUCGGGAUAAGCCUGGGAAACUGGGUCUAAUACCGGAUAGGACUCCGGACUGCAUGGUCUGGGGUGGAAAGCUUUUGCGGUGUGGGAUGGGCCCGCGGCCUAUCAGCUUGUUGGUGGGGUGAUGGCCUACCAAGGCGACGACGGGUAGCCGGCCUGAGAGGGUGACCGGCCACACUGGGACUGGGAUACGGCCCAGACUCCUAUGGGAGGCAGCAGUGGGGAAUAUUGCACAAUGGGCGCAAGCCUGAUGCAGCGACGCCGCGUGAGGGAUGACGGCCUUCGGGUUGUAAACCUCUUUCAGCAUCGACGAAGCGAAAGUGACGGUAGGUGCAGAAGGAGGACCGGCCAACUACGUGCCAGCCGCCGCGGUAA
rnacentral:rRNA from 1 species